GGGGUCGUAGCUCAGCUGGGAGAGCGUCUGCUUGACGUGCAGGAGGUCUGCGGUUCGAGCCCGCACGGUCCCA
rnacentral:tRNA from 1 species